AAAGCUCCGUAAAGCCGAGAGGAGCUGCAGAGUCUGGUAAUAAUUCUCUGUAGGUUCAUCACCAUGAGAAAUCUUUAACACAUACAUGUGAUCCAUUGUUAAUAUUGAUUAUCACCACUUUAAAAACAAAAAUCAAUCAGGCUGAAGUUAUUUGUUACCUUAUCAGACGGUAAAUAUCUGAGCUAUGCGUUUCUGGCUCUUCAGCUUUUUUUACGAUUCAAAGAAAACACAUUCUUCUGAAGCAGGUUGAUAAAUUACACAAACAUUUUUUAAUCAAAGACUGUCACUCACUUCCUUGACUGUGCAACACACACACACACACAGUCAGACACUCACACACACACUCCAGUCCAGUUUUCACACUGUGAUGCCAAAAAAAAAAAUCCUAAACCUUAACUACUAAUGAGACAUGAGCUCUGACGUGACGUUACCUGACACACAAAAAAGGACACCUCUCUGUAAUCUCACUACAUGUAUGUGAGUGUGAGCGUAUAAAAAAAAUAUAUGAGAGACAGAAUAACACGGUUCAGAUGAUAACGAUGACAAUGCAAUCCAUUGAAAAAUAUAGACAUGAUCUGUAACUCAUUUGAUGUCUGUAUGAGGGCCAGUGAAUGAGUGUGUGUGUGUGUGUCUGCCAGGAGAAAGUGUAGACUCCAACGAGAAACAAGAAAAUAAUCAGGUUGUUUGGAUUAGGAGGAUAAUUAAAGCAACAUUUCUCUGUUUUUCUGGAAUCUGUUAAAUCACAAAGUCCCUCUGCUUUGCUUAUUUCUUCUUGUGUUUUCAUUCUUUUUCUUUCUUCGGUCCUUGUCCAGAUUUUCUACCCGACAUAAAGCGACUGAAAGCUGGACUUUUUUAGUGUGUUAUUUUUCUGUCUGUCCGUUUCUUUCUUUUUAAAAUCUGUCCUUCUCUCUUUCAAUGUUCAGAAAUACAGAGUAGAGGCUACAGUAUGUUCAAGAUUUAAGUGUCGCCAUGUCCAUCUUCUGGCGUUAGACGUCCAAAAACCACAAUCAACUUUGUGAUUCUAAAGUGUCUUUGAGUUUGAACACAGCGUGGUCCUGUUUGUCCAGUCGCCUGUUAGCUCCCCUCACCGAGUCCGACCAGUCCUCCCACUGCAACAAAACCAAACGUGGGGAGGGGAACAGGACACCAGAGGAGAGUCACCUCCUGCUGUGGCUCAUGAUCUCAUUCCAGCUCUUCUACAGCUGUCAGUCUGGAUGUUCUGGAUGAUUUGACACAAUACUGUUUCAUGAUCUCCUGAAGCCACUUUCAUGUUCCACUUGUAGAAGAAUUAAAAUGCACAUUUUACACAAUCA